CCAUAGACAUUGAUAGUCGGCGUUGUUGUCCGUUUGUUCGGUUGAAUCGAGACGAAGUGGUCGACGGGGAUGAGAAAGGGGAAGGAGUAGGAGUAGGGUAUGAGGACGGUAGGGGGUGGCACGAGGGGGGGUUGGUUGUGCGGCGGCGUCUGGACCGCGGAUAAUAGGAAGCUACCGGGGUAUCUCUGCUAAUCACGUUAAGUCCGGCAGACCGCUUUGUGCCCCGCGAACGAGCCACCGGCCGAAAUUCCCAAGUCCGAAACUCACGACCAACACGAACGCAAUCCUGUCAGCUUCUCCUCCUUCCCACAACUACCCCUUCUCUUCUCUCUCUCUCUC